rnacentral:rRNA from 1 species
AUGAAUGAGGUGCGUAAUCUGUCUUAUGACAUGGAGGAUUACAUUGACAGCUUAAUAUUUGUGCGGCUUGAGCAUCCCUCCCUUGUUCCCAACAACAUCAAGACCACCUGGUCCGGCCUCAAAUUCAAACUCUGCCUCAAAUUCUACGGUCAUGCCAAGACUCCCAAGACUCAGCUUGUUAGUAUUGCGGAAACGCUAUCAGAAUUCAGGAUGUAUGUCCAGGUGGCGAUUGAACGGCACCAAAGAUACAGUCUUCAUUCUUGCAGCACAUUGAAGCGUAGGCUUGUGCCUACGCUUCCAAUUCCAACACUGUAUGAUGAAGAAGCUGUGCACAUCAUAAUCGAUGGUUGGAUUAAUGAAUUUAUCAACUCACUGGUAACUGAAGAAGUGGAGGAUCUAGAGCAGCAGCAGCUCAAGGUGGUAGCUCAGGUUUACGUGUAG